GUGUGUGUGUGUGUGUGUGUGAUAAUUCUUGUUUUAUUGGGGUUUUUGUUCAUUCAUUUUUUUCUUGAAUACUUGAAUAAUCUUGGAUCUGAAUAAUCUUCAAUCAAAAUUUGAGUAUUUCUUCAAUCAUCCAAUCUUUGUUGCUUUUCCCAUGUUGAUGAUCAAGUUUAAGAGAAGUGACAGAGAUGAUUUUCAAUGGAAGAAAACUAGUAUCAUCCUCAUUUAAUCUCCCUUUUGUAUUUUAAGUGGUUUUAGCAUGAAUUGGGAUAGUCUUAAGUUUAGAAUAAUUUUAUUGAAGUUUGUUUGAAAUAUGAAAAUUUGAUUCUCAUUGUCUGAAUUUGUUGAUUUGGGUAUGUUGGGGAGG
rnacentral:misc_RNA from 1 species